AGAACGAACGCUGGCGGCAUGCCUAAUACAUGCAAGUCGAACGAACACUUCGGUGUUAGUGGCGCACGGGUGCGUAACGCGUGGGAAUCUGCCCUUGGGUUCGGAAUAACAGUUGGAAACGACUGCUAAUACCGGAUGAUGACGAAAGUCCAAAGAUUUAUCGCCCAGGGAUGAGCCCGCGUAGGAUUAGCUAGUUGGUGAGGUAAAGGCUCACCAAGGCGACGAUCCUUAGCUGGUCUGAGAGGAUGAUCAGCCACACGUGGGACUGAGACGACGGCCCAGUACCUCCGACGGGAGCAGCGUAAGGUAGGAAUAGUAGACAAGUGGAC
rnacentral:rRNA from 1 species